rnacentral:pre_miRNA from 1 species
ACAGAGUGUUGCAAUAGUGGUAUACUAAGGCCCUGUUUCACAUGGUUAGUGGCUACCUGUUAGAUAAAAUGCAUGAUGUCACUGUCAAAAAAAUUAUAACAGAGAGUGACAGCAUGUAUUUUAUCUUACACGUAGCUACUAACCAGAUAUAGUGAAACAGGGGCUAAGUCCAAAGGGGGUUACUCAAU